GGGGGCGACCGGUUUCGACGGGGAUCAAGAGGCCAGCGGUGCAUGUCGAGCUCUCGGGUGCUCGUUAAACUUCCGGGAAACUAGCAACUGCCAACCAACAGCUGGCACUCGCGGCUUAACUGACCGCGACGUCCCUCCACCUGAGGCCUGCGGGGGUGGAAGGGGCGCGAUGCAGCAGGCUGGUCCGAAGCUGGUGCUCAGCGGCUGAGGACGAGAACACACUGGGCUAGCGGCUGUUGCGGCUGCGAAACCAAAACGAUCGGCUACACAUGUAGAGUCGUUGCGCUGAAGGUCUUCGGACCCGGGUUCAACUCCCGGCGCCUCCACCA
rnacentral:tmRNA from 1 species